UUUGCAUUUUUCCGAAACCUGCUAGCUAUCAAAACAAACGCAGAUGGAAUAAUAUUUAUUUUGGAGAAACAUCGCAAUUUAUUAUUGGAAUUAUUAAAAUACUAGCACUAAUCCAUUUACCACAAUGGAUACCCAACUAGUGGAAAAGAUUGUCCAUGAAGUAAAGUCCCAGGGGGUGUUUGAUGAAUUUCGCAAAGAUUCCAUGGCAGAUGUGGACACUAAACCAGCCUAUCAAAAUCUCCGACAACGUGUGGAGAAUACAGUCAAGAAAUUUUUAUCGGAACAAAAAUGGACACCAGAAACGAAUAAAAACCAGUUAAGAGAAAAGUUAAGGAGGCAUAUAACAGAGUCGGGGUUUCUGGAUGUGGGCGUUGAAAGAAUUGUCGAUCAAGUGGUUAACCCUAAGAUAGGUAGUGUUUUUCAGCCACGCAUAGAGGAGAUAGCUUAUAAAUAUUUGGGUUUGCCACCACCGCCAAAGAAAUUUGAGCCUCCACCACCACCGCUAAUGCAUCCUCUGCCGCCAUUGCCCUUGAAUGCGCCACCUCUAAAAGUGGAGACCUGUAGUUUGUUACCCACCGAUCUGGAACAAGUAAGUCCAGAUUCGGAUAAAGGUACUGUGAAGUCUGAAGGUAAAGAUGACCGUUCUACAGUUGAUAUGGACACUGAGGAGAAACUUAUUGAAGACGAAGAAGAAUCUCCGCCCUUUGAACCAUUGGUUAAGCAGGAACUGGAAGAAACCAAAGAGUUAGUAACAGUAGAAACUAAAGAGGAAAAACCCAACAUCAAGAAAGAAUGUGAUGAAUCUUUAUAUGAUAAAACCAACAAAUUUGAAGAGAGUAAUGAAGUUGCGCUCAAAACCGAAAAUAUGGCCAACGAUAAUGACAGCCAGGAAACCAGUAAUUUUGCUACUGAAUCAGCUGCAAUCGAUAAAGAUGCUAGUCAGUCGGUGGAUGCCAGAAUUUCACAAGAUUCCCAAUUAUCUAGUGUCUCCAGUGAUUCUCGUUUGUCGGUAAAUGGCAAAGAAGAUUCUUUGCAAAGCAGUUCCCAAGAAGCCGUAGCGGCCAAUAUAUCCGAAGAGGCUCAAAUGCCCAAAUUUAAUGAAAACUCUAGUGAGCUCAAUGCCUCGACAAAUGGCCAUGCAAAUGACAAAAUUUCUACGAAGUCCGAAUUACACUUCGAUAUUAAAAAAGAUGAAAUUAAAUUCGAAGGUACAGAACGUAAAUCAGGUCUGGAAAUUACUGAAACGGCAACACAUAAAUCUGAAGAGGAAGCUUACGAAGAAACUCCUUCAUCGGACACAAAAAACGAUUCAUUCAAGUUUAGCACAAACAAGUCGAAUAUGGAAACCAAGGAAGAGGACUAUGAACGUACCCCCAAUGCCCAAGAAUUAAGUUUUGGUUCCAGUAUUGAGGAUUCAUCAUCUGUGCCGCCCAAUCAGACACCUAAAACCUCUGCACAACAAAAAGAGAAAGAAGAUUUACCACAAAUGCAAACACCAAAACAAACAAUACGUCCUAGCACACCGAAUACCACACCCAUACCCACACCACCUCUGCCCACUCCCACAGCCACACCCUCACCAGUAGCAACACAAAAACCCGAUAAGGAACAUCAAAGUAGACAUUCUUCAACCUCUUCUUCGAAACAUAAGAAACACUCAAAAGAGCGGCGACGUUCUCAUGAACGAGAAAAGGAGAAAGACAGCAGGGAUCGACAUCGCUCUAGCAAAGAUUCAAAGGAUUCAUCCAGGCAUCACUCCAGCUCCAGUGGCAACAAAAGUAGUAGCAAACAUUCUUCAUCUUCCUCCAGCAAAUAUUCAUCAUCACAUAAUAAGUCAUCGGAAAAAGACGUCGACAAAUCUUCUUCAUCCUCUACGCAUUCCUCCUCAAAACAUACAAAACAUUCACACUCACAUUCCUCCUCAUCGUCAAAUGAAAAUCAAGAUUCGAAAAAAUCCAAACGUGAUUCAGAACGCAAACAUCAUUCCUCUUCGUCUUCAUCUUCAAAGCGCAGUGAACGUAAAGAUGAUCAUGCUGAGGCUAAGCACAAGACACAAAGACGCAAAUCCACAGAUUCUAAUGAUGAUGAGGGUGACAAAAGCAUGGGAGGUCCUAAAUCUAAUUCGCAAUAUAAAGCUAGUUACACAAGUUCAUCUCAAGGAAAAUCAUCGAAGUCUAAAUCUAAUACCAGCGAAGGAAAUAAGACUAAUGAUACACAAAAAGAUCAAUUGGAAGUGAUGGAAACAAAUGAGUUAAACACAAACAAAUUACAUCAUGUAAACAAUGUGGUGAUUUUAAAUGAUAUUUUGGAAAAUCCUCAAACACAAUUCAUACAACUUAACAAUACCGGCCACUUGGUGGAAACGCCAGUGCCUCAGAGCGAAAUAACUAUAACUAAAAUUGAAAACAACCAAGAAGUUACCGCAGAAUUUAACAAUAAUAUAGCACCCUUGGAAACUAAGCAGGAGGAGGAGAAGGCGCAAAAAGAAGUGGAAAAAGAACAAAAUUCUAACGAUUUGUUAUACUUUGAUGAGAUCCAGCUUAAUCUCACGGAACGUCUUAAACUACUUAAUGCCACCAUGGAUUUGUGUCGCAGUGCUGUUAAUAGUUUACGUUUUGACUCUCUCAGCGAUGAAGGUAUUGAGUUAUCCAAUGAGGAGGAUGUCAAUAGCGAUAGUAAAAUGUCUAAUUUGUUGGCGGAUUCGUUGAAACGAAAGUCUGAUUAUAAUUAUGUUGAAUUUGAGACAACACCACGUAAAAGAGUCAUGUCGCAGGUCAGUGAAGGUUGUCAAUCGAAAACAUCACCUACUCCCUCGGACACUAGCAGCAUCAAUUCGAAGGAGAAUGAGGAAAUUGUUAAGAAUACCACUUAACGUUUACAAAAAACAAUUUUCAAUUUCAAUCAAAACCAUCAAAAUGAACAUGUUUUAGCAUUAAAAGUACUUUUAAGAAGCCUAACGAACAAAUUCAAAUAAAUACUUUCGUAACUUAUAAUAAAUAAUCAUAAAUAAUAAUCCAAAGCAAAUUUAAACAAUCACUUCACCAUACAUAACAUCACCUAAUAAUAUAAAUAAAAGCAAAUUGUAUAAUAAGUUUUAAGAAACAAAGAAACCUUGAAUUGGGAUCAUGCCAAAAAGUCGUUAAUUGAACGUCAUAAGGCUGCCCAAAAACUAAGUCAACAGCAGCGUUAUUCCAGUGAAGAUUUAUAUAAACCUCGACCAAUUUUGGGACAACGCUCACGACGCAGAGGCAUGGAUUCUUUAGUUUAAGUUUUGUGUUUUUUUUUUGUAACUUUUAGUGCUUGCUAUUGAAUUUAAAGUUCAAUUAUUUUAUUACUAUUUAAGGCAUUUUUUGUUUUAUUUGUAUAUGAAUUUAUUUUUUAUAAUUAUUAAGCAAAUACACUUUCAUACAUAUUAUUGUAUGCUGAAUUAUGCACGUUAUGUAAAUAGAAGAAUAGAGGUUUUUAAAACUUAAUAAAAUUUUGCAUUUGUAAUCAUAGAACUUUGAAAAUGUAGUA